rnacentral:RNase_P_RNA from 7 species
UUGACAACUCGAGUAAUCGCCCCGCUUCGCUCUUACGAGCUACGUGGGGAGGAAAGUCCGGACUCCUUUUCCGAUGAAAAUCGGAAUGACAAUGCUUAGCAGAUAACGUCUGCCGCUUCGCGUUAAUUAAAGUUAGCGCGUAGUAGGGAAAGUGCCACAGAGACAAUACCGCCCACACUAGCUUUAGCGAAGGUGGGUAAGGGUGAAAAGUGUGGUGUAAGAGACCACGGCUUGUAUAGGCAACUAUACAAGGAGGAAAACCCUAGGCGGAGAAAGCAGGAAUGGUACCCCUUGCUAACUUUUUAUUGCAAUCACAUAUGCGAGGCAAACGACUGAAAUUAAAAGUUAGCGAGGGGAGCCCUGCGCUUGAGCCUGAUGGCGACGUCAGGCCUUAGGUAGAUGAUUACUUAGAAACAGAAUCCGGCUUAUGAGGUUCCAAGGCA